rnacentral:tRNA from 1 species
GCCCGGGUGGUGAAAUGGUAGACACGAGGGACUUAAAAUCCCUUGGUCCGCAAGGGCCGUGUGGGUUCAAGUCCCACCCCGGGCA